GCUCCGCCCUGCGCGCCGACGCCGCCACAGGGAGGUGGUGGAGGCUACAACCCACCCUCGCCGUCCAUUGGAACCUCUCCGACAACGCCGGGAGGAGGUGGAGGCUACACGCCGACGCCGAGCGACACGCCACCCUCUCCGUCCAGUGACACCUCGCCGAGCACUCCGGGUGGCGGCUGCUCGUCCUCACCCACGCCGUGCGACGCACCGCCCUCACCGUCCAGUGACACGUCCCCGACAACGCCGGGGGGAGGUGGAGGCUACUCGCCGACACCGAGUGACACUCCGCCCUCGCCGUCCAGUGACACCUCUCCGACAACGCCGGGUGGAGGUGGAGGCUACACGCCGACGCCGAGCGACGCGCCGCCCUCGCCUUCUAGUGACACCUCUCCGACAACGCCAGGUGGAGGUGGAGGCUACACGCCGACGCCGAGCGACGCGCCGCCUUCGCCGUCCAGUGACACCUCUCCGACAACGCCGGGUGGAGGUGGAGGCUACACGCCGACGCCGAGCGACACGCCGCCCUCGCCGUCCAGUGGCAGCUCCCCGACAACGCCGGGUGGAGGUGGAGGCUACACGCCGACACCGAGCGACACGCCGCCCUCGCCGUCCAGUGGCAGCUCUCGCACUACACCGGGUGGAUGCUCCACUCCCACGCCGUGCGGCACGCCGCCCGCGCCGUCGAGUGGCACCUCUCCGACCACACCGGGUGGAAGCUACUACCCGCCCACGCCGUCCAUUGGCGACGUGCCACCCUCGCCGUCCAGCGACACCUCUCCGACCACACCGGGCGGAGGCUCCCCGUCCACGCCAUGCGACACGCCGCCCUCGCCGUCCAGUGGCAC
rnacentral:lncRNA from 1 species